rnacentral:rRNA from 1 species
AUUGAACGCUGGCGGCAGGCUUAACACAUGCAAGUCGAGCGGCAGCACGGACUUCGGUCUGGUGGCGAGUGGCGAACGGGUGAGUAAUACAUCGGAACGUGCCCAGUCGUGGGGGAUAACGUAGCGAAAGCUACGCUAAUACCGCAUACGAUCUACGGAUGAAAGCGGGGGAUCGCAAGACCUCGCGCGAUUGGAGCGGCCGAUGGCAGAUUAGGUAGUUGGUGGGGUAAAGGCUCACCAAGCCGACGAUCUGUAGCUGGUCUGAGAGGACGACCACCCACACUGGGACUGGGGCACGGCCCAGACUCCUACGGGAGGCAGCAGUGGGGAAUUUUGGACAAUGGGCGCAAGCCUGAUUCAGCCAUUCCGCGUGCAGGAUGAAGGCCCUCGGGUUGUAAACUGCUUUUGUACGGAACGAAAAGGCUCUGGUUAAUACCCGGGGCUCAUGACGGUACCGUAAGAAUAAGCACCGGCUAACUACGUGCCAGCCGCCGCGGUAACAC